rnacentral:rRNA from 1 species
CGGAGGGUGCAAGCGUUAUCCGGAUUCACUGGGUUUAAAGGGUGCGUAGGUGGGUUAGUAAGUCAGUGGUGAAAUCCCCGAGCUUAACUUGGGAACUGCCAUUGAUACUAUUAAUCUUGAAUACCGUGGAGGUCAGCGGAAUAUGUCAUGUAGCGGUGAAAUGCUUAGAUAUGACAUAGAACACCAAUUGCGAAGGCAGCUGGCUACGCGAAUAAUUGACACUGAUGCACGAAAGCGUGGGGAUCAAACAGGAUUAGAUACCCUGGUAGUCCACGCCCUAAACUAUGGAUACUCGACAUCAGCGAUACACUGUGGUGUCUGAGCGAAAGCAUUAAGUAUCCCACCUGGGAAGUACGAUCGCAAGAUU